rnacentral:rRNA from 1 species
CCUACGGGAGGCAGCAGUGAGGAAUAUUGGUCAAUGGACGAGAGUCUGAACCAGCCAAGUAGCGUGAAGGAUGACUGCCCUAUGGGUUGUAAACUUCUUUUAUCUGGGAAUAAAAUGUUCCACGUGUGGGAUUUGUAUGUACCAUAUGAAUAAGGAUCGGCUAACUCCGUGCCAGCAGCCGCGGUAAUACGGAGGAACCGAGCGUUAACCGGAUUUAUUUGGUUUAAAGGGAGCGUAGGUGGGUGGUUAAGGCAGUUGUGAAAGUUUGCGGAUCAACCGCAAAAUUGCCGUUGAAACUGGCAGUCUUGAGUACAGUAGAGGUGUGCGGAAUUCGUGGUGUAGCGGUGAAAUGCUUAGAUAUCACGAAGAACUCCGAUUGCGAAGGCAGCUCACUGGACUGCAACUGACACUGAGGCUCGAAAGUGUGGGUAUCAAACAGGAUUAGAUACCCUUGUAGUC